ensembl:lncRNA
UGUGUGUGUGUGUGUGUUUGCGUUUGAGAAAUGGUCUUUCCUCCAUGUAUUUGUCACGUGUGUGUGUGUGUGUGUGUUUGGUGCGUGUGUGUGUGUGUGUGUGUGUGCUACGUGUGUGUGUGUGUGUGUGUUUGUCCUCAGGAGUUGUUUGUCACUGGACACCUGCUAUGCGACGAUAAAGAGAGUAAGCGCGAGCCGUCCGGGUGAUUCCUGCUUCUGGGCAAAUGCCUCGAGCUCCAAAUCAACAGAUCCCCCAACAGAUCCCAAAGGAUCCCCCAACAGAUCCCCCAACAGGUCCCCCAAAGGAUCCCCCAACAGGUCCCAAAGGAUCCCCCAACAGAUCCCCAAACUGAUUCCCUAAAGGAUCCCCAAAAGAUCUCCCAAAGUUCCCCCAAAAGUUCCCUCAAAGGUUCCCCCAACAGAUCGACUAAAGGAUCCCCAAAAGCUCUCCCAACAGAUCCCUCAAAAGAUCUCCCACAGGAUCCUCCAACAGGUCACUUGUCGCGUCUAAUGUUUUAGGGGUCUGAACGGCGGGGGAAAGAG